rfam:Trichobilharzia regenti genome assembly, scaffold: TRE_scaffold0007633
AUCCAGCUGACGGACGAGUCCCAAAUAGGACGAAACGCGCAUUCUGGAU